AUUGAACGCUGGCGGCAUGCUUUACACAUGCAAGUCGAACGGCAGCACGGGGGGUAACCCGUCGUGGCGAGUGGCGACGGGUGAGUAAUACAUCGGAACGUGUCUGUAAUGGGGAGUAACNCAGCGAAAGUUAGUGCUAAUACCGCAUACGAUCUACGGAUGAAAGACGGGGGACCGGCAAGGCCUCGCGUUAUUGGAGCGGCCGAUGUCUGAUUAGCUUGUUGGUGGGGUAAA
rnacentral:rRNA from 1 species